rnacentral:rRNA from 1 species
CCUACGGGUGGCAGCAGUGAGGAAUAUUGGUCAAUGGGCUUACGCCUGAACCAGCCAAGUCGCGUGAGGGAAGACUGCCCUAUGGGUUGUAAACCUCUUUUGUCAGGGAGCAACGCCGGCUACGUGUAGCCGGACUGAGAGUACCUGAAGAAAAAGCAUCGGCUAACUCCGUGCCAGCAGCCGCGGUAAUACGUAGGGGGCAAGCGUUAUCCGGCUUUACUGGGUGUAAAGGGAGCGUAGACGGCAGUGCAAGUCUGGAGUGAAAGGCGGGGGCUCAACCCCCGGACUGCUCUGGAAACUGUACGGCUGGAGUGCAGGAGAGGUAAGUGGAAUUCCUAGUGUAGCGGUGAAAUGCGUAGAUAUUAGGAGGAACACCAGUGGCGAAGGCGGCUUACUGGACUGUAACUGACGUUGAGGCUCGAAAGCGUGGGGAGCAAACAGGAUUAGAUACCCCUGUAGUC